rnacentral:rRNA from 1 species
UACGGAGGGGGCUAGCGUUGUUCGGAAUUACUGGGCGUAAAGCGCACGUAGGCGGCCAAUCAAGUCAGAGGUGAAAGCCCAGGACUCAACCUUGGAACUGCCUUUGAAACUAGUUGGCUUGAAUGUCGGAGAGGCGAGUGGAAUUCCGAGUGUAGAGGUGAAAUUCGUAGAUAUUCGGAAGAACACCAGUGGCGAAGGCGACUCGCUGGACGACGAUUGACGCUGAGGUGCGAAAGCGUGGGGAGCAAACAGG